rnacentral:rRNA from 1 species
AUUGAACGCUGGCGGCAUGCCUUACACAUGCAAGUCGAACGGUAACAGGUCUUCGGAUGCUGACGAGUGGCGAACGGGUGAGUAAUACAUCGGAACGUGCCUAGUAGUGGGGGAUAACUACUCGAAAGAGUGGCUAAUACCGCAUGAUAUCUACGGAUGAAAGAAGGGGAACUCAAGACCUUGUGCUACUAGAGCGGCCGAUGGCAGAUUAGGUAGUUGGUGGGAUAAAAGCUUACCAAGCCGACGAUCUGUAGCUGGUCUGAGAGGACGAUCAGCAACACUGGGACUGAGACACGGCCCAGACUCCUACGGGAGGCAGCAGUGGGGAAUUUUGGACAAUGGGCGCAAGCCUGAUCCAGCAAUGCCGCGUGCAGGAUGAAGGCCUUCGGGUUGUAAACUGCUUUUGUACGGAACGAAAAGCCCUGGGUUAAUACCCUGGGGUCAUGACGGUACCGUAAGAAUAAGCACCGGCUAACUACGUGCCAGCAGCCGCAGUAAGAC